rnacentral:rRNA from 1 species
CCUACGGGAGGCAGCAGUGAGGAAUAUUGGUCAAUGGUCGCGAGCCUGAACCAGCCAAGUCGCGUGAAGGAUGACUGUCCUACGGGUUGUAAACCUCUUUUAUAAAGGAAUAAAGUGAGGCACGUGUGCCUUUUUGUAUGUACUUUAUGAAUAAGGAUCGGCUAACUCCGUGCCAGCAGCCGCGGUAAUACGGAGGAUCCGAGCGUUAUCCGGAUUUAUUGGGUUUAAAGGGAGCGUAGAUGGGUUGUUAAGUCAGGUGUGAAAGUUUGCGGCUCAACCGUAAAAUUGCAAUUGAUACUGGCAGGCUUGAGUACAGUUGAGGUAGGCGGAAUGCGUGGUGUAGCGGUGAAAUGCUUAGAUAUCACGAAGAACUCCGAUUGCGAAGGCAGCUUACUAAACUGCCACUGACGUUGAUGCUCGAAAGUGUGGGUAUCAAACAGGAUUAGAUACCCGGGUAGUC